GACAGUUCUCGGGUGAUGCACCCUGGUAUCAGGCUCCCUCCUCUCUGGUCCCAGGUUUGUCACCCGAGAACUGCA
rfam:Myotis brandtii contig275819, whole genome shotgun sequence.